rnacentral:rRNA from 1 species
CCGKGCCAUCCCUUAAAUGGGAWAUCCCGGAARRSCAAAUUCCGCAUUGGUGGAAACAAAGCGGGCACCYGGGCGUUUGRGAAACUCGGCUAMCASUGUGGGGGGUACGGUCCACAAGGUUGACGGGUGGUGGUCGAGAGGRCGCCAGCCCCUUGAACGGGACCGGUCCAGACACCUACGGUGGCAGCAGUCGRGAAUUUCUCAAUGGGGAACCCUGAAGGAGCGACGCCGCGUGGAGGAUGAAUGCUUUCGGGUGUAAACUCCUGUCAUUUGGGAACAAAGCCUUACGUUAACUGCGUGGAGGUUUGAUAGUACCAGAAGAGGAAGAGACGGCUAACUCUGUGCCAGCAGCCGCGGUAAUACAGAGGUCUCAAGCGUUGUUCGGAUUCAUUGGGCGUAAAGGGCGCGUAGGCGGCGGGGUAAGUCGGGUGUGAAAUCUCAGAGCUCAACUCUGAAACUGCACUCGAUACUGCUUUGCUAGAGGACUGGAGAGGAGAUUGGAAUUCACGGUGUAGCAGUGAAAUGCGUAGAGAUCGUGAGGAAGACCAGUGGCGAAGGCGGAUCUCUGGACAGUUCCUGACGCUGAGGCGCGAAGGCCAGGGGAGCAAACGGGAUUAGAUACCCCGGUAGUCCUGGCAGUAAACGGUGCACGUUUGGUGUGCGCGGAUUCGACCCCGUGCGUGCCGGAGCUAACGCGUUAAACGUGCCGCCUGAGGAGUASAGAGAUCGCAAGAUUA